rnacentral:miRNA from 1 species
UGUCUGGUUAAUUUUAAAUUUCUGAUGAACAGUGAAUCAUUUUUUUUUUUAGUAUAAGUAUGUUUCAUGCAAUAUUUUGGACAUACUUAUACUAAAAAAUGAUUCCUUGCAUAUCUGAAAUUCCCAUUUAAUUGAAUG